rnacentral:rRNA from 1 species
CCCUUAGAUGUUCUGGGCUGCACGCGCGCUACACUGAUGCAUGCAACGAGUUUUCGACCUUGCCUGAAAAGGUUGGGUAAUCUGUUUAACAUGUGUCGUGAUGGGGAUAGACCAUUGCAAUUAUUGAUCUUCAACGAGGAAUUCCUAGUAAGCGCGAGUCAUCAGCUCGUGCUGAUUAUGUCCCUGCCCUUUGUACACACCGCACGUCGCUCCUACCGAUUGAGUGAUCCGGUGAAUGAUUCGGACCAGCGUGCUGCUCAGAUCCUGCGCAGUGUGCUGGGAAGUCUAGUGAACCUUAUCACUUAGAGGAAGGAGAAGUCGUAACA